UAAGUGCUGAAAGCAUCUAGGCACGAAACUUGCCCCGAGAUGAGCCCUGCCUGAGACAUGAAGUCUCCUGAAGGAACGUUAAAGACGAUGACGUUGAUAGGUCGGGUGUGUAAGCGUAGCGAUACGUUGAGCUAACCGAUACUAAUGAACCGUGAGGCUUAACCUUACAACGCCGAAG
rnacentral:rRNA from 1 species